CUCGAGAAGACAAGAUGGCGUUCGUUUAUACCUGGGCAUUUGAGUGGAAUUUUGUUUUGAAAUAACCGCUUAUUUUACGUUAUAGCGACUAGUUCGUGGUGGAAAUUAUAACUCGAUGGAAAGGGAGAGUGUUUCGUCACGAGAGAGGAAAGUACAUGUAGUUAUUGUGAUGUUAUUUGCUGUGAAAGACGGACCGAAAUUACAUCGCUAUAUAAAAAUUUCUACUCGCAAUUCGACCGUGGAUAAAGCUAGACAACGCUUGAAUGAAAGAACAGCCUGUUUUAAUGAAUUAAUGGUAAGUUUUUUAACGGGUUCUUUGUAAUAUUUUUUAGUUUUAAAGGUCUCUGUCGAAGCUGUACUUCAAUUUAUACAUAAAAUUUUGAGUAGAGUCAGUUCUAUGGUACUAGACAAAUUUGGCUAUCAACGUUGUUUUAAUACGCCUAAUUCACUUGUGGCUUUAGGGUAACUCAUGCCCAGUUACUACUGUUCUAGUUUUAUACAGAAGCAUAGGAUCAAACAAAAGUAACCAAGCAUUUAUAGAGUUAUGUAUAUAAAGAGUUAUUAUUAAAAAUACUCGUAUAGAUAAAUCUAAAGAGGGUGGGAAAAAUUGGGUAAAUGGGUAUCUGUUCAUUUCGCCUCCAAGUCGUUUCGCCCCCAAGUCGUUUCGUCCCCAAGUCGUUUCGCCCCCAAGUCGUUUCGUCCCCAAGUCGUUUCAUCCCCCAAGUUGUUUCGCCCCCAAGUCGUUUCAUCCCCAAGUCGUUUUGCCCCCAAGUCGUUUUGCCCCCAAGUCGUUUCGUCCCCAAGUCAUUUCAUCCCCAAGUCGUUUCGUCCCCAAGUCGUUUCGUUCCCAAGUCGUUUCGCCCCGAAGUCGUUAGAUGUCAAAGUUGUUUGGCCUCCAAAAACUUAUUGGAUAUUCGAUAAAGCUUUUUUUAGCAAUAGCAAAAUAUAUGAAAAUUUCAAACGCAAAGAUGAGGGAACUGCCAUUUACGUUCAAAUAUGCAUUGCAAACUUUUCACACGUUUGUUUUUGUUAAAAAUUAAAAACCUAUUCACUAAUGCAUGCACGCUUCAAACUUGUCAAAGCCAAAGCUGACAUUUCAGACGAAAACAAAAGUGUGAAAAGGUUUGACAAAGUCAGUGACGACUUGGGGCGAAUCGACUUGGGGGGAGGGACGACUUGUAUUCGGAAAGGGAGGUAUGGGUCACUUUUCACAACGGAAAAAAGCUGUUUCACAAUUCGUGUGUCUUAAAAAAGCAAUUUCACAUUUCACUAAAAACUAGAUUGGGUUGUUCCAGAAACUAAAAAUGAGAUUGGGUCGAUAAGAUAGAGCUAGAGCUGGGCUGAGCAGGUAUUGCUGUAUGCCGUUAAAAUCUUUUAAGGAAAUGUGUGACCUGCAGUAAAUGCAGUUUACACUCAAUAACCCAAAAAUUCAAGGCAAAAUCAAGAAAAUUAUCCAUUUUAAUGAUCGUUUCCAUAUGAUCGACUGCUGUCGUAAAAUUUUUACUGAUUUACUUGCUAGUUAACUUACUAUGUUCUAAAAUGUUAAAAUCUAAUCUAUACCCUAUUUCGCAUGUGCAUACAUUGUGUUUGUUUUUCGUCUGUGAACUUUUGUUGCUGUUCAAAUAAAAAGAUAAACUAAUAAUAGCCAUGAUGCUGGUAUAUCUUACAGUUUUCUGCCGAUACCGGUAUAGCGUCAAAACCAACACCGCCACCGCCAUACCAGUAUCAACUAAAUACCGUGAAUAACUAAGAAUACUCAGUAUACCGCCCAACUUUAGCAGGGGGCAGUGUCAUUGUUGGUGGAACUUCAUAUGUAGGCAUAUGUCGGCAAUUGCUUUGGUGUACCUCUGGUGUGACAAUAACAUGGCAUAUCAAAAUUUAAAAAAUAUCAAUAUUUGAUUUUUUGAAUACCGAAAAAAUAUCAAAAGUUUUAUCAAAACUAUUUCCCAGUAAAGUCUAGAAAACACGUGUGGGCAAGUGUUUAUCACAAAAGAUCACUACCAAACUUGAUAUUCGAUUAGUUUCACACAACUUUUUUUUGCUGUUUUCGACACAGUAUACAUUUAUUUUGCCAUUUGUGAUGUGGUAUAUUGGCCGAACUACAUUUUGUAAUUUUGCUAAUUUGUAUAUUUUCAAUAUAGUCUAUAUUUUUUUUUCGAUAGCGAUAUAAAGAAAUUUUCCAAUACCACAACAGCCUAAUAUGGAAUCCACCCUGGUA
rnacentral:lncRNA from 1 species